CGGCAGUUGGCACGUCCUUCCCUGGACAACUGCCUCCAUAUGACGAUCAUCCCACAGAGUCUUCCAGAGAGCACAGGUUCGUAGAACACAGCCACACGUCUUCUCAACAAAACAACAGUUGCCAGUGACCUUGACUCUUUCUCUGUGCUUUGCUGUGCUAAGAUGUUGGUGCGUAAUAUUUGUGGACUUAGCAAAGAACCAAGUCCAACCAAGGAGCCCUAGCAAUGAAGUGAACAUUUCGGUGGAGAGGAACUAAAGAAAGGGCACUCCAACUGCCAAAAUAAAUGGUUGUGCCAAGUGCAAGGGGUGGUGUGUGAGUGCCGCAAGAAGCUUGGAUAUUCCACCUGCAAGGUCCUACACAGGUGCAGAACCCAGGCUUAUGAAAGCCCUAUGGAUCACACUACAGAACAGUUGCCAAAGAGCUGAGAAAGACCAGAAUAGAGUGAAGUUCGUGGAGAACCUUGUAAUUCUUAAAAAGAGUUAUAUUUACAUUUGAAUAUUUACACACUAUGAAUACUACAGCUCCACUCUACACACCCCUGUGUGCACCUGGCAAACUGACAACAUGAACAACAUGUUGUGAUUCAAGGAGAAACCUGGACGCUGUUGCCUCUUUCAACCCACCGAUCAGCACUAUCAGAGAUGUUUGUGCUGACCAUCUGUUAGCGUGACAACAUGGAUCCAACCUUCAAGGAUCAUCAUGAGCACAGUCCGGAAUGCCAGAUGCACAUUUGUACACCACACAACCACCUUUUCUGUAGGCAGAUUGCAGAAAGCAAAGCAAUUUGUACAGAGAUCACUCCUUAACAUUUCUCAGCCAGUCACCAACACAAAUUACAGCUUGGAUUGCUGAGCCAAUUUUAGUACCAUCUGCACACUAAAUACACCAACAAAAUAUACAUUGCGGAAA